ensembl:misc_RNA Metazoa_SRP Metazoan signal recognition particle RNA
GCUGGGCAUGGUGGCUCAUGCCUGUAAUCCCAGCACCUUGGGAGGCUGAGGCGGGAGGAUUGCUUGAGCCCAGGAACUGGAAACCAGCCUGGGCAACAUAGCAAAACCCCAUCUCUA